rnacentral:rRNA from 1 species
GAUGAACGCUGGCGGCGUGCCUAAUACAUGCAAGUCGAGCGAACGGACGAGAAGCUUGCUUCUCUGAUGUUAGCGGCGGACGGGUGAGUAACACGUGGAUAACCUACCUAUAAGGCUGGGAUAACUUCGGGAAACCGGAGCUAAUACCGGAUGAUAUUUUGAACCGCAUGGUUCAAAAGUGAAAGACGGUCUUGCUGUCACUUAUAGAUGGAUCCGCGCUGCAUUAGCUAGUUGGUAAGGUAACGGCUUACCAAGGCAACGAUGCAUAGCCGACCUGAGAGGGUGAUCGGCCACACUGGAACUGAGACACGGUCCAGACUCCUACGGGAGGCAGCAGUAGGGAAUCUUCCGCAAUGGGCGAAAGCCUGACGGAGCAACGCCGAGUGAGUGAUGAAGGUCUUCGGAUCGUAAAACUCUGUUAUUAGGGAAGAACAUAUGUGUAAGUAACUGUGCACAUCUUGACGGUACCUAAUCAGAAAGCCACGGCUAACUACGUG